rnacentral:rRNA from 1 species
CACGUAGGGGGCAAGCGUUGUCCGGAAUUACUGGGCGUAAAGGGCGCGUAGGCGGCCUAUUAAGUUAGAGGUGAAAGGCCAGGGCUCAACCCUGGAGUUG